AUUGAACGCUGGCGGCAUGCCUUACACAUGCAAGUCGAACGGUAACAGGUCUUCGGAUGCUGACGAGUGGCGAACGGGUGAGUAAUACAUCGGAACGUGCCCGAUCGUGGGGGAUAACGAGGCGAAAGCUUUGCUAAUACCGCAUACGAUCUACGGAUUAAAGCGGGGGAUCUUCGGACCUCGCGCGGACGGAGCGGCCGAUGGCAGAUUAGGUAGUUGGUGGGAUAAAAGCUUACCAAGCCGACGAUCUGUAGCUGGUCUGAGAGGAUGAUCAGCCACACUGGGACUGAGACACGGCCCAGACUCCUACGGGAGGCAGCAGUGGGGAAUUUUGGACAAUGGGCGAAAGCCUGAUCCAGCCAUGCCGCGUGCAGGAUGAAGGCCUUCGGGUUGUAAACUGCUUUUGUACGGAACGAAAAGCCUCUUUCUAAUAAAGAGGGGUCAUGACGGUACCGUAAGAAUAAGCACCGGCUAACUACGUG
rnacentral:rRNA from 1 species